AAGUACUCGUGGAGGACUGGCUAGUCUUGGCCAGGGCCCAGCCUCAGCCCACUAUGGUGGGCACCCUGGACACUGCAGGGUGCAGAGCAGAGCCCCUGGCCUCUACCCACCCAUACCACACACUCCCCCGUUGUGACCACACAUGUCUGACAUGGCUCAGGGUCUCCACUGAGAGCCACUGGUCAAAGGUGAAAAUAGUGUUGCUGCUGCUCCUCGAGACAAUGUGUUCUCUUCCCUAGCAAGUGCGGGCAAGCUUUGCAAGCUGCCCUGGCUGGCUGCCCGACCUGAACUGCAGAGCAGAGGGGAAUGGUGCCGUGCUCUGUGCACCUGUCAUCUCUGGGUGGUGCAGCAGGACACUCCUAGGGGGAGUGAGGCAGCCUGGAAGGAGGUGCCUCUCCUCCCUUUCUUGCCCCUUCCUGGGUGUCACCCUGAUUCACUGGUUGCAGUCACACCUCGGUGCCUCCUGGUCAUGGGGCUGGAGCCUUUGCUGUGGUUACUGCUGUGUGCUUCCUGGACUUGGGGCCAGGAUCCUGCUCAAACAUCACCUGAGCCACAGACGGGUGGGACUCCACACACUGGGCACGGCCCCAGGUCUGUGGCACAGUCUGCUCCAUCCUCACAAGGAUCUGAAAUGCAAGGACCAGGCUGGUACCCUCCUAGGGAGGAGGGUGAGGUCCUGACAGGCAGGGACUUGCCCAGGGCACCCUGGAAGGCAGGUGUGGCAGCCGCAGAGCACUGCAUGCCCAUAGUGCCUAGUGGUGCUCCAGGAGCCACAGGGGCCCAGCUCCUGCCCCCCAGCCACCGCCUCCAGGGAAAGGAGUCAGUGCAAGAGAGUGGGUGGGCAGGCAGAGGGCAGGAGACCUGUGCCUGAGGCCUGCAGAGGGAAACCAGCUGCAGGCUGGAUGUGGGGCCAGGAAGCCCCUUCACAUGCAGGACCAGAAACCCCACACCGGGUGGCUGCAGCUCAGCCGGAGGCUCUGGCUGCCCCGGGGAGUUUGUGCCUCCCAGCAGGGAUGGUAUAGCUCUGGGUGUUUAGCCCGGAGUGGGCUCUGAGAAGGGUGGGAUGGGGCUGGCAGUGGCCUCCCUCAGAUUGUGCCACUGCCCAGCAGGAAGAUAGGUCCUUCGGGGCUGCCCUGUUGCCACUCCCCUCACCCCGCUUGCUAAGCCCUGUCAUGAGGUCACUGUGCCGUCCCUGCGAGAAGAGCGAGGGCUGGGUGCCUCCAGGGCUGUUGAGAGGCUGUGCAGGUGCAGUCAGCAUUUGCAGCCUGCACACCACUGGCCUCCAGCGCUUCACAGUGCCAACACAGGGCCGCAGAUGGCAGCCAGCCAGGAGGUGGAGAACCCAGCCCUAGGAGGCUUGGUCUGGCCCCCACUCUGCCUUGGGGCUAUCCCUGCAAGCACUCUGCAGGGCAUGCCCAUUCCUAACCCUGACCUGGGCAGCAGCACUUGCCAAGCCCCUGCUACACUGAUGCUGGGGAGGUGGAAUGAUGUGCCCCAAGGCAUGAGGCCUGUGUCCAGCCGCUUCCUGUUGGGGGUUCUCUUCCUGCUCAGAACCACAGUGUCCCCAUACCUCUGGGACCCACAGGAUGGCCGCUGUGGGGGCUCUGCUUGUGCAGGCUCACAGGCCUCAGGCUGCUGGUGAGCAAUGGAGCACCUGGGGGGCCUGUUCCUGUGAAUAGGCACUGGCAGUCACACACGUUUGCCUGUGGGGUUGUAGGGACAAGGCCUCUGACCCACCAGAGCCUGCCCAUGAUGCCCAUGGCUUGCCUGCCAGUCAUCCAGCACAAGGCUGUGCUCUGAACACCAGGGCUUGAGCAGUGGCAGGCACCUGCCCUGGUGGGAAACAGGGGACCAAGGAGGAUCUCACAGGGUGAGUUAGGCGGCCACCCCUGGGGAGAGGGGACCUGGGAGAGGCGAGGGAUCUGGGCAGGCCAGCAUCUGCCCAGGAGGCAGUGGCCACAGCUCCCAACCUUGUCCCACCCACAGGACAGCCUUCAACAACAAUGUCAGCGUGGCCUACGAGUGCCUGAGUGCCGGCGGCCGCAGGAAGAGGCCGGGGCUGGAUGGCCGCACCUACAGUGAGCUGCUGAAGCGCAUCUGCAGGGAUGGCGAGGCCCCGGAGGAGGUGGUGGCCCCACUGCUGCGCAAGAUCCAGUGCCGCGACCAUGAGGCGGUGCCGCGGGGCGUCUUCCGUGCAGGCAUGCUUACCUGCUUUGUGCUGCUGGACUUCGUGGCCCGGGCAGGAGCCCUCUUCCGGCUUCUUGAGGCCCCAGGCCUGGCAGUGGCUGACCGCCGUGUGGGCCAGGCCGUUCUGGACACCCUUGAGGGGGCCCUGGGGGCUGGUGACCACACUGCUGGGCCUGCAUGCUACCUGGAGGCCGGCUCGCGCCUGGGACCCGACAGCCUGGCGCUGGCCCUGGACCGUGCAGCGACCGGCCGGAGGCCCAGCUCCCCCAUGUCCCGAGAGGAGUUCCUGGAGAAGGCAGCCGCCCUCUUCAUCGCCAAGGUCAAGCCAGUGGGCUGAGCCUGCUGCGUGGCUGCCCUGCUCCUGGAACAGGCGUGGGACUGGCCCAGGACAGAGCAUUCCCACCCCUGCACUAGGACAUGGCCACCAGGACACUGCACCCCCACAGCUGGGCACCCACACUCACAAGCCCUGCUCAGCUGAAAUAAAGUCUGUGGAGGCCUGUGUGCAUGCACAUGUGCGUGCGUGCGUGCGUGCGCCAAGUGGGCCCACCACCCGGCCGCCCAGCCAGCCCAUUCCUCUGGAGCCUGAGUCUCCUUCCACAGCCCUGCCCACUCCAGUGGCUCCUCUUGGGCCUCAGUUUCCCUAGCCAUCCAGCAAAGAGGGCAGCUGGCAGCGACACCGAGGGAUGGCAGUGGGAUCUCCACCCCUCCUUAUCCCUCACUGCCUGGAGGAAGGCGGCUGCGAGAGGAGACCAAGGGCCAACAGGCUGGGGCCCUCCAGAGUCACACGGUGCCACCUCCACCAGCGGUCCCCCCAGCUCCCUGUAAGCACUUCAUGACUUCAGGCAUCUGUACCCCACACACCCAGAGCCUGGCCUCCACCUCCCUCCUACCUAGGACUGACAACCCCACUCUGCCUGA
rnacentral:lncRNA from 1 species